rnacentral:lncRNA from 10 species
CCCAGGCUGAUCUUGAAUUCCUGGGCUCAAGCCAUCCUCCAUCCUCGCCUUCCCAAAGUGCUGGGAUUACAGGCAUGAGCUGCUGCACCCGGCCAAGAGUUGUUUAAAGACACGGAGCAACAUUUAAAAACCAAAAGAUUUCACACAAAAUUCUAGAUUUCUGGCUUCAAGUGGUACAAAGAGUGGUCUCGCACUUAUGCUUACAGGGGCUAGGUAGGUAACUGAAGUGAGUGAAUCAGGUCGAUUUUCCUAACUUUUAUAAAGCCUUGGGAUUAAAGAAAUAUUUCUUAACAACAGCAAUGACAAUGGCCAACGCUUACUGAACCUUAUUAUGGGCCAGAGACUGUUCUAAGCACUUCAUGAGUACUGACUCAUUUAAUCUUCACCACAUUCCUACAAAUUAGAAAAUGAUGAUCAUUGUCUAGUGUCUGCAUGGGCAUGAUAAUAAGAGGCACCUACUACUGAGCCUCAGUGAGGAGAGGGGCGGUACUGUAGAACUAGAGAACACAUUCCCCACUAAAUGGGGGCAGCCUCUCCAGGCUAUAGCUUCCAUAUGGGAAUGCAAGCCCCGGGUUGCCUCCUCUCCUCUCAGUGUCAGCCCCUGGGGAGUAGUGGGUGAGACAUGACAGACCUGCAGUCAAAGCAUGCAGCCUCUAGUGUCUUGACAUAUACCCUAACAUUUGUUUAUUUCUAUAGCACUAUGAGAUCAUGUUCUCUUAAAGCAAAUGUCUCUUGGGGCCAAAGAGGAGAAAAUAGUGAAUGCUUUUGGUUCCCAGUGCAGUAUUACAGAGAGCAGGUAAGAAUGUCACUCAGGGCUUCAUACUUAAAGAAAUUGCUGUACUUUACCUAUGAAUAAUACCUAUGGGAAUUUAAAAGGACCAAUGGCCGAUAUCUAUCAAAAAUAUCAAAUGAACAUGUCCUUUGACCCAGCAAUUCCCCUUCUAAUAUAUUUUAGAUAUGUACUUCUAUGUUCACAAAGAUGGAUGUGUAAAAGUACUGAUUGCAGCAUUAUCAGUAGCAAAAGACUGAAAGGGAACUAAAUAGUCCAGCAACAGGGGACUGGUUGAAUAUAUGCUCAUGCACACAGUAGAAUAUUAGGCUGCAGUUAGGAAGUCUGAGUUAGAAAGUCUAAGUUAGAUACACAGGACGUUUUGUGGUUAAAUGUGCAAGGCCUGGGGCUUUACUUCCUGGGUUCAAAUUCCAGCCCUGCCACUCAGUAGAUCUAUGACCUUGAGCAAGUUACCCAACCUCUCUGUGCUACUGUGCUCAUAUGUAAUGGAGAAUGAUGCUACAGGUAGUAUCUGCCUCAUAAGUUUUUGUGAAUUUUAAGUGAGCUAAUACACAGCUAAUUGAUCACAACCAGUUACAGAUUUCUUUGUUCCUUCUCCACUCCCACUACUUCACUUGAGUAACCUUAAAUUUUUUUUUUUUUUUUUUUGAGACGGAGUCUUGCCCCGUCGCCCAUGCUGGAGUGUAGUGGUGCCAUCUCAGCUCACUGCAGCCUCCGUCUCCCAGGUUCAAGCAAUUCUCCUGCCUCAGCCUCCCAAGUAGCUGGGAUUACAGGCACGUGCCAGCACACCUGGCUAAUUUUUUAAUUUUUAGUAGAGAUGGGGUUUCGCUGUGUUGGCCUGGCAGGUCUCAAACUCCUGACCUCAAGUGACCCACCUGCCUCAGCCUCUCAAAGUGCUGGGAUUACAGGAGUGAGCCACUGCGCCUGGCCUAAAAAAAUUUUUUUUUAAAAAAUGAGUUAGUAUACAAGUAGAACAGUGCCUAGCAUGUAAUAAAUAUAAGGUUAAGCAAUUGUUACUUGUAAUAUAAGCUGGUGUGGAAUAAUCUCUAAGAUAUAUUAAGUGAAAAAAUUAAGUUGCAGGCCGGGCGUGGUGGCUCACACCUAUAAUCCAGCACUUUGGGAGGCUGAGGUAGGUGGAUCACUUGAGGCCAGGAGUUCGAGACCAGCCUGGCCAACAUGGUAAAACCCUGUCUCUAUUAAAAAUACAAAAAUUAGCCAGGCGUGGUGACACACCCCUGUAAUCCCAGCUGCUCCAGAGGCUGAGGCAUGAGAAUCACUUGAACCCAGGAGGCAGAGGUUGCAGUGAGCCAAGAUCGUGCCACUGCACUCCAGCCUGGGUGAGAGUGAGAUUCCAUCUCAAAACAAAACAAAACAAAAAACAAAACAAAAAAAUUAAGUUGCAGAACAGUGUAUGUUACUAUUAUACAUAAGUUAUUUUUCAUAUAAAUAAAAGCAGUUAUUUGCAUGUAUGUGCCAAGACUAUCUCUGGAAGGAUGCUGUGCUUCCUAAGUGAUUUUCUUUUCUUUUUCUUU